rnacentral:misc_RNA from 1 species
CUCGGAUGAGUCGCCCACGACGGUUCUCGCCGCUCGUGCACUCGCCCCGUGGGGUGUACGUCCAGUCGCCCCUGGCGGGCGAACCCGAGGUGGGCAUGGCGAAUGACGGUCGCAUAUUCGAGGAGCUCCUUGACGCCGAAGUCGCAGUGAACAUGGAAAAGCUUCGGGAGGCGUCGCGCAUGGGCAUUCCGCCGGCCUACCGCGGUGUUGUCUACCGCUACCUUCUCGGGGUCGCCUUCACCGACAAGUCCAGCGAGAUGACGAUGGAAGAGUUGCAGGACAAGGACUUCCAGCUCUUGAACACGGCCUACACCCGCAUGUUGGGAAACGGGGACGAGGACGACGACCGCGGCGGCGCUGGCGGCGGGGGUCACAGCGGCAGCCACAGCACUGGCGGUAGCGUGGCGGCCCUACACACCAUCAGGGAACUGCUGACCUUCUCGACAUCAUCCGCGGUGGCGGCCGUGAGCGCGACGGAGGGAAGCGGUCCACUGCACUGCAGCAGCGGCUUCCGCGGCAUAGGUAGCGGCGACGCAGGGGGCGGUACCGGUGGUGGCAGCAGCGGUGCAGGAACGGUGGCGACGCCUUUUGUGUACCGCGGUCCGUCAGCUGUCCCGGCCCUUGGCCCCUCGGCCACUCUCGCCGCCUGGGAAGAGUGCGUGACGGCGCUGCGGUACUGUGAGCCGUACAACGCGGACGCGCGUCAGUGGGCGAGGAUGGAGUCCGCACUGGCCGCGCUGCAGAUGAUGUACUGCAACGUCUCUGUCGAUCACGUGCAGCUGAUCGUGCUGCUGGCGCGCCAACUCGACCGGGUCGCCAGCUCGGCGCGCGACACCUUCUUCACUGUCCACGCCCUCUUUGAUGUGCUGACACAGGACGGCAACAUUCUGCACGACGCUCACACGCUGCAGACGCACUGCGGCAACUUCCUCAUGCUCUUCCGCUCCGUGUUGCUCCCGCUCUAUGAGCACUUCACAGUGGAGGGGCUGACCACGUGGGAGUGGAUCCCAAGCUUGCUGACGUGCUUCUUCGUGGGCCGCAUGCACCCCGACGACGUGUUCGCGCUGUGGGACUACUACCUCGCGGAUAUGAGCGAGCACCAGGCGAUGGCGCUGCACCCGUACGCCUGCCUGGCGAUGCUCUCGUCCAUGACGGAGGUGCUCAUCGAGGCCGGCAAGAUUGAGCUUCUCUACUGCCUAGAGCACCUACCUCGUCUCGACACGGCGGCCAUCAUGCGCAAGGCGGUACUGAUUCGAGAGUCCGUGUAUUCCAAGGAGUUGCUCUGCGGAUGAUGCGGCCGCCACUGUGGCUGCCACUACCACCGCUGCGGCCGGUUUACAACGAUGGUCGACUACGCACAAAGAGGGAGAGAGCGAAGGCUGCGGAUGUGCCUGGUGGGACGUCACAGGGCAUUCGUGUCGUCGAAGGCCCGGUUGGGAAGCGUGCGUGUAUGAUGAGGGCGGCGGCAGCUGCUGCAACGCCCUUCAGCGCGCUUCAUCUCCGUUGACUUGACAUUCACUGCACGUUGUUGGCCUCUACUGCUGUAGCGUCUGUCUGUCCGUCCCUCGCUGUGCUCCCUCUAGCUGAGCCCCACACCCCCUACUUCUACGGCCUCGUCCUUGCCUUGCGUGCUGCGCCUCACACGACUCUCUCCUUCUGUCUGCUCUGGACCUUUUCAUGAAGCGGUGUUUGGUGAUGUAGACACGGCCUCGAUGACGCCAUGCAUCGCCUUUCGCAG